UACGUAGGGUGCAAGCGUUAAUCGGAAUUACUGGGCGUAAAGCGUGCGCAGGCGGUUCGCUAAGACAGAUGUGAAAUCCCCGGGCUUAACCUGGGAACUGCAUUUGUGACUGGCGGGCUAGAGUAUGGCAGAGGGGGGUAGAAUUCCACGUGUAGCAGUGAAAUGCGUAGAGAUCGGCAGGAACACCCAGGGGGAAACCAGCCGACUGGGCAUCUACUGACGCUGAGGCGCGAAAGCGUGGGGAGCGAACAGG
rnacentral:rRNA from 1 species